GACGAACGCUGGCGGCGUGCUUAACACAUGCAAGUCGAACGGAAAGGCCCUGCUUUUGUGGGGUGCUCGAGUGGCGAACGGGUGAGUAACACGUGAGUAACCUGCCCUUGACUUUGGGAUAACUUCAGGAAACUGGGGCUAAUACCGGAUAGGAGCUCCUUCUGCAUGGUGGGGGUUGGAAAGUUUCGGCGGUUGGGGAUGGACUCGCGGCUUAUCAGCUUGUUGGUGGGGUAGUGGCUUACCAAGGCUUUGACGGGUAGCCGGCCUGAGAGGGUGACCGGCCACAUUGGGACUGAGAUACGGCCCGGACUCCUACGGGAGGCAGCAGUGGGGAAUAUUGCACAAUGGGCGGAAGCCUGAUGCAGCAACGCCGCGUGCGGGAUGACGGCCUUCGGGUUGUAAACCGCUUUCGCCUGUGACGAAGCGUGAGUGACGGUAAUGGGUAAAGAAGCACCGGCUAACUACGUG
rnacentral:rRNA from 1 species